GCCGAACUCUACUUCUCUACUCCUCCCUCCCCGUACCCUGAAGAAACUCUGUUCUAUACUAUACCGUACUAUACCAUUGCAUUUGUCUAGUCUCUCAGGGGGACGGGAUGCCUCAGCAUGAACCCGCUGAGGUUCAGGGCCUGUGUCAGUAAGCCUGGGCCCGGGGUGCCAAGCAUUUGUGGACUCUCGAAUCAAGGUUUGGGAAUGGGAACCAGGUGUGCCCGACUCUGCCAGGUGGCUGUGGUGGCCUUCCUGGGAUCAACUCAACUCAGCCAAGGCUCUUGGGUGGCACGGGAGAGCAGGUGUUAUAAAUCGUGCUUCUGUGAAGAAGGCUGUGCAGUAUCAUUUGAGGAUACAUUUGCAGUUCCUUUAGCUAGAUAACUUUAUGCCCUUGAAUCCACACAAUCUGGAUGACUUUCUUUGCAUCAUCACUGGAAAUUCCUUGUGUGAGUGAGGAACUCCUGUCAGUGGGACCGGCUAAGCAGGGGCUCAGACACCAACUCCUUGGAAGCUCCUGAUGAGAACAAAUCAUGCCACGUGGUCUCUGGUCUUUCCCAACACCCACUGAGCUUCUCUGGAGUCCUUUCUUGCUUGUGGCCACCCAGGGAUUUUGCCUGUAAAGGAUUUUAUCCAUCCAUGCUACUUUUACUUUGG
rnacentral:lncRNA from 1 species